GACGAACGCUGGCGGCGUGCCUAAUACAUGCAAGUAGAACGCUGAAGGAGGAGCUUGCUUCUCUGGAUGAGUUGCGAACGGGUGAGUAACGCGUAGGUAACCUGCCUGGUAGCGGGGGAUAACUAUUGGAAACGAUAGCUAAUACCGCAUAAUAGCAGUUGUUGCAUGACAACUGUUUGAAAGGUGCAAUUGCACCACUACCAGAUGGACCUGCGUUGUAUUAGCUAGUUGGUGGGGUAACGGCUCACCAAGGCGACGAUACAUAGCCGACCUGAGAGGGUGAUCGGCCACACUGGGACUGAGACACGGCCCAGACUCCUACGGGAGGCAGCAGUAGGGAAUCUUCGGCAAUAGACGGAAGUCUGACCGAGCAACGCCGCGUGAGUGAAGAAGGUUUUCGGAUCGUAAAGCCCUGUUGUAAGAGAAGAACGAGUGUGAGAGUGGAAAGUUCACACUGUGACGGUAUCUUACCAGAAAGGGACGGCUAACUACGUG
rnacentral:rRNA from 1 species